UACAUGGGGUGCAAACGUUGCUCGGAAUUAUUGGGCGUAAAGCGCACGUAGGCGGUUUGUUAAGUCGGAUGUGAAAUCCCCGGGCUUAACCUGGGAACUGCAUUUGUGACUGGCAAGCUAGAGUAUGGCAGAGGGGGGUAGAAUUCCACGUGUAGCAGUGAAAUGCGUAGAGAUGUGGAGGAAUACCGAUGGCGAAGGCAGCCCCCUGGGCCAAUACUGACGCUCAUGCACGAAAGCGUGGGGAGCAAACAGG
rnacentral:rRNA from 1 species